UGAAAAAUACUUACUUUUCUUUUUAAAUAGAGAAAGCUACACAGUUUCGACUUGAACUGAUAAAAGCAAAAGCAAUGACCGCCCUUGAAGAUGCAGUAACCCAGGUGAUCGAUGUCUAUAAAUUUAUGGAAAAGUGGCUUGGUGAGAGGUAUUUGAAUGAGAUGGCCAGUAUAGAAAAAUUAACUGAAGUAGCUCGCUAUCACAUUGAAACAGCUACAAAAAUUCAGCAUGAGCUUUAUUUAGACCAAGAAGAAUUCUUCAUUAAUGACGAUAUAAAAGUCUUCCCAGAUCCUCCUCCACCAGAACGUCCUCCGCCUGUAGAAAAGGAAGAAAAUGGUACCCUGACCAUCGAACAGCUUGACAAUCUUGGAGAUCAGUUCUUAGACAUAGCCCCUAAAGGCAGGAAUCCUUCAGAUGAUAUAAGUCAAGUCACUGAAAAACAGAAAAGAAUAUGGAAAAUUG
rnacentral:lncRNA from 1 species